rnacentral:lncRNA from 1 species
UGGGCCGCAAUUCACAUCAAGAGAGCCCUCCCGUCCUGGCGAUCAUCUUCAAUGACGAGAACCAUCGACAACCCCUCCUCCAGCAAGCUUUUUCUUUUGGAGACAAAAAUCCAAAACAGACUUUGGUUUAGAAUUUUACGAUGGUUUGAAAUAUCAGAAAAUUAAAAAAUAUAUAUUGCGUCUUCUUCUUCCUUAGAUUGAUUUUGAGCAUUUGGUUUUCAAAUGGAGUUCGAUUACAGUGAGUUUGUCGUUCGAUUUGUCGAGGUCGAGUUUUCUGGUGCGGUUUUCGAUUGACUUGUUUGUUCAAGGUUGCGAUAUUGGUAAAUAAGCCUAGUAUGUAGCUCGUUCGAAGGUUUUAAUGUCUUCGAGCUUUAGUUUCAUUGUAUUUGCUCCAGAAUUCAAUGAUAGAAGGUCAGUUCUUCCAUUUUCGUUCUUCUUCUGUUGCUUUGUUUCCAUGACAAAUCAUGUCAAGCUAUCAAUGUUCUAACCUAAAAUAUAUUUGUUUUUCUGGAAAAGCUUAAGUAAAAUUUGAACUCCGUGUAUAUGUUUUGAUAUGAUGUGGCUUUGGAGUUGUAUUUGCGUUUCAGUUUCAUCUCCAUUAUACUGUUUCAAGCUCUUGAGUUUAAAAAUGGCAAUUGAAAUUGUUAUUUGAUUCCGUGGUGCUGCUGAUAGAAGGGUGUUGGAAAUUUUGGUUUCUUAUGUCAUAAAAGUGCAAUUGAUUUAUAUAACUUUGGCAUGUGACUUAUUAUGUGUUUAUCAUUUAUUUUGCUUGGGAUGUUGGCUAACUUUUUGUUAUUUGCCAAGGUGCUUACUGUUAUUUGAGUUCUAGUUAGUAUUAAAAGUCUAAAAACCAAUAGUUUGGUCAGUGAUGAAGCAAUGAGAGAUUUCAAAAGGUUAUUUGGAUCAAAUGUAUAUCUCACUCAUCUUAUAUAGUAAUAUCAAUUGGUGAUCUACGCUUUUGUUCUAUGAGCACUUACACCCAACUUGAGUAUAUUUGUUUUAAUCAAAAGUUUUACAAUUGUUGCGCAUAUAUUGUGGUUCAUUUCAUUUUUCUACUUGAGCUUGAGUGAUAAAUUCCCUUUGCUUUGAAGUUAAUUUGUUUUUUUUUUGUUUUGGUUGGUUUUGUUUUCCACUGAUUUCUCCCUUACCAUAGCUUAUUUAGUUUAAAAUUACAACUUAAAAGUACUGUGUUGUGUUUAGAACUUGAAAGAAGAUUUGAAUUCGGGCCAUGGGGUGGUUGGUUUAAGAGUGGAUUUGGGACUUUGGUAAAUAAAGAAAAGGAAGCUCAAAACGAAUUAUGUUAAUUUGUGUUGUUUCUAUUUUAAUUAUUCAGAUUGUUAGAAGCAUACUUAGGAAAUAAUCAAUCAUGAACAUUCGUAGUUUGUUAUAGUUGAGUAUAAUCAUCUGAAAUUAGAAUCGAGGAGUGUCAUUAGUUAAAUUUUCAUGGCCCUAAACUCGGGUGUGCAUUUACGUGAACCAAAUUCAAAUCUCAACAAUGUUAGAUAAAAUGUGUCGAGAGUCAGGGGUGCAUUUAUGUGACAUGGUUCAAGAAGUAUUUUAAAUAACGUUUAAUUUUUUCCUUAAAAAUAAUGAAAAGUGGUUAUAAAGUAUAAAAUUGCACAACAGGCUAAAACAUGUAUUAAAAUCAGAUAAUAGGCCAAUUUAUAACAAUUUCUCCCGAGUUAACAGAAUUCCUUACCCGGAUUUCUGUGUUCGUGGAUUGUAAUACAGAGUCAAUCUUUUCCAUGAUUUGGGAUUUGAACUGUGACUUGGGGCACCAUAAAAUUAUCCCAAGUGGUGAGUCUAAUCUUUUAAUAAAAUAAUCCCAUUUGAUUGCCACUUUAACUUUGAAAAAAUUCCCUUCUACGCCCUUCGCGGGGUAGGGUGUAAAAGGGAGGUGUGACAAUACAUUCAUAUGAACUAACACAUCGUAUGCCACUUCCAUUUAAUGCGUGCAACACGUGGUCUCCUACGAUUGGUUAUGCACUUCCUCAGCACCUUUGAAGGCUUUUUUCCGGCUGGAUCAAUCACGAAGUGAUAAUUUUCAUAAUGACAUUUCUAUUGUUACCUUUUUGUUUGACGGUUGCUUCUAAGUAUAAAUAUAUCCUUUGUCUUUUCUUUCACGAAAAAGUUUUCCAUAUUUUUCCAUUCAAUCCUUUCUUCAUCUUUGUACAUCUAUGCCUUCUUCAUACCCUGAUUCUCAAAAGGUUCUUAUUGUAGAUGAAUUUCGCCUUGCUCCUACCAGAAGCAUGAGAAGUUGUAGGCUGCGUAGUUUAGGGUCAGUUUCCAUUCGAGGUUAUUCUUCUCAACCUAGUCCUACUCCUCCAUCAUCUAAUAGAACUAGGGCUUCUUUUUCACAUAGGUCUUCUGCUAGAAGUAGGGAUUCCAGCGAGCCAAUUCGUGAACCUACAAUAGACGAGAUUAUCCCUGCCAAACUUUCUUUUAAUACUGAUAGAGAGUCGAUUAGAAACCAGGUCUCCUCUAUGUCCUCUCAUGAUCGUGCUGAUAUUUAUCCUUCAUAGAUACUGAAGGUUUGAUCUCUGUUGUUCGUAGAGAUUGUCAUUGGAUGUUUGAUUUCCCCAUUCUCAUCUCCAAUGUGAAUCAAAUGAUCAUAUAUUUCAAACCUAGCUUUUCUUUUGUGUACACAUAGCCAUUUACAUUAGACUAUAGACCUCCUAUUGAUCCAGUCAUUAUUGAAUUUUUCCGCUUCUUCAAUGUGUUUUUGGGAUAAAUUGUCCCUAUUGUAUGGAGGGUUGUUGCAUGUUUAAGGAAUCUGACUAAUUUGGCUCAAUUACCUUUCACCUUCUACCAUCUAAUGCAACUCUACUCUCCUAAAUUAUUCUGUCAUGGGAUUUCACUCUGGUGGCGAGGAGUAAGAGAGUUUUAUUCAUCCAGAGGACGAUAAAGAUCGUCGAAAGGGUUAGUAGGUGAAGAUAAUAUGCCCUUCCCUGAGAAUUGGAACUUUGGACGUAAUUUUUUCUUUACAAUUUUCUUUUUGUUUUUAUGAGUUUAUACCUGUGACUAUUUUACUUUCCUUUUUCAGCAACCGUAGGAAUUGUUGAAGAGAUUUCUGAUUUCUAUGGUUGGCUAGAAAAAUUGUUAACAGUUGCUCCAAUGGAAGUAAGGUCUUGGAAGUACCUUUCAAAUAGAUUUUCCUGGAAGGUUAAGACUCAUG